GUACACUUCCUUGUGUAGACUGUCAAAAGCCACACUAAAAAGUGAAUUAUGUGAACAAAACAUUAACUGGCACAUCAGAUGGCAUGCUGAGUUUGUCUGAAUUGUUUUGAAACAAAGUAUGCAUCUUAUUUCAGAGAGGUGUGUGAGAGUUCUGUUCUGCUGAAUUUGAAGAAGUGGUUUCAUCGGGAUUCAAUUUAUAUGUAUAUUGGCGAUAUUCUCCUGUCCAUCAACCCCUUCAAGCCUCUCAGCAUCUACACUGAGGAUCGGAGACAGCAGUACAAGGGUAAAGAGAAGCACAAUAAUCCACCUCAUAUAUAUGCCACAGCAGAUGCUGCCUUUUGCCAAUCUCAGAAUACCACCCAAGAGCACUGCAUCAUCAUAAAGUGAGGAGGAUUAUGGGCGUUUCA
rnacentral:lncRNA from 1 species